AUUAUCUCAAGAUAAAGUUUUUAAUUUUCUAAAGUUGCUCCUUAAAAUCUAAAUCUCCCUGAGAGGUGUAGAUGGCACUUUAAGUUAACAAACACCUAAAUCAUCUUUUACCUGCUCAGCAAAGAUUGUUCUUAUCCUGCUAAGACCAAGAAAGGGAACAAGAUGGAUACCUAAGAGAAGAGAAUGCAAACAGCAAAGGUAGAAAGAAAGAAAGGAUCCAAGACCUAGCGAGGUGGAACUCAAAAAAAGGCUGUAACGGUUUUGCCUGGGAACAGUCUCUCCAGCUCCGUUUCUGUGCUGGUGGGGUGUCACGUGGCAUCCAGCCUCUGCUCUCAGGCUUCCAGGAGCUGUUGGUCUGGCCCCACCUGUAUUACCUGUCAGUCUUGGAAUCUAGCUGAACUCAGACUAGCUUGAUGGUAAACAUGGUACUAGAAGAAAAACCAGUCUGAAGGUCAGACUUGAGUUUGUUGUGACUUUGAGCCAUUCAGACCUUCUACAGACUUCGAUUUCCACCUUUGUAUGAGGAGAGAGUAGAUUAUAUUUCUGUUCUGCUCUGGGUCUCUCCCUUGCCCUGCUAACUUCUCUCCCAACUCUUUUUACUCUAAGCUUCUACCACAGGUGGUAAAAAAUGUGGCAGCUCCCAAAGCACGGAAAACAACCCAAAUGCCCAUGGAUGAGUGGAUAAACAAAAGAUGGCCUAUACAUCCAAUGGAAUAGAAGGAAGGAAACUGCCACAUGCUGCCACAUGGAUGAAACUUGAAUACGUUACACUAAGCCAGUCACAAAAGGACAAAUACUGCCUGAUCCACUUAUAUGAGCACCACGUGCAGGAAUGACGCGCUGUUGCCCGUUCCAGGGGUCCCUUGCUGAAGUCUUCACAGAGGCUCAAUGCUUCCAGCGCAACACGUGCCAUCAACUGAAACGCAUUUUCUGUUCAUGUCUUUUACCCACAGAUUUAGCGCGUUUUCCAUCUUUUCUAAGGAUUCCAAAUAUACUUUAUUAAACUCGAUUGCUGAUUAGGCCCUAAGCAAUUAUAAAGAAAUGACACAAUUGAUAUUCAAUGAGAGGUUAUUUUUCUGGACAUAUUGACAUAUUAAGGUACUUUUCUUUAAAAAUCUGAAGUCUACAGUAAAAAUAAGUGCAUGUAGACAUUAUUCUCUGUUUUCUGCAAGAGCUCUUGGAGAACAGGAUGCCUUUUCCAUCUUAACUAAGUAUUUAUUUAUCAUGCACUGUGGCCAGAACUUUUGCAGUUUGAAGUGUGACAGCAAAACUAGCACACAUUUCUUUUUCCAUCUUUACAAUUUCAUAGAAGAUUCAUAGAUCUUACCAUAGAUCUUAGUGACUUUAGCACACAAUUUUUUUUUUUCUUUAUUAAAUUGAAAACUUUUACCUUUUCACUCUAAGGAAGCACUUUACAACUUCUCUUCGGCAUAUCUGAAUCGCCAGUAUUGCUACUCUUGCGCUGUGGGGCCAUUAUGAAGUAAAAUAAAGGUGAUGUGAACACAA